rnacentral:rRNA from 1 species
UACGUAGGGUGCGAGCGUUGUCCGGAAUUAUUGGGCGUAAAGGGCUCGUAGGCGGUUUGUCGCGUCGGGAGUGAAAAUCCAGGGCUUAACUCUGGACUGGCUUCCGAUACGGGCAGACUAGAGGUAUGCAGGGGAGAACGGAAUUCCUGGUGUAGCGGUGAAAUGCGCAGAUAUCAGGAGGAACACCGGUGGCGAAGGCGGAUCUCUGGGCCAUUACUGACGCUGAGGAGCGAAAGCGUGGGGAGCGAACAGG